UACGAAGGGGGGCUAGCGUUGUUCGGAAUCACUGGGCGUAAAGCGCACGUAGGCGGAUCUUUAAGUCAGGGGUGAAAUCCCGAGGCUCAACCUCGGAACUGCCUUUGAUACUGGGGAUCUCGAGUCCGGGAGAGGUGAGUGGAACUGCGAGUGUAGAGGUGAAAUUCGUAGAUAUUCGCAAGAACACCAGUGGCGAAGGCGGACUCACUGGCCCGAUACUGACGCUGAGGCACGAAAGCGUGGGGAG
rnacentral:rRNA from 1 species